rnacentral:rRNA from 1 species
AUUGAACGCUGGCGGCAGGCUUAACACAUGCAAGUCGAGCGGAGAUGAGGUGCUUGCACCUUAUCUUAGCGGCGGACGGGUGAGUAAUGCUUAGGAAUCUGCCUAUUAGUGGGGGACAACAUUCCGAAAGGAAUGCUAAUACCGCAUACGUCCUACGGGAGAAAGCAGGGGGUCUUCGGACCUCGCGCUAAUAGAUGAGCCUAAGUCGGAUUAGCUAGUUGGUGGGGUAAAGGCCUACCAAGGCGACGAUCUGUAGCGGGUCUGAGAGGAUGAUCCGCCACACUGGGACUGAGACACGGCCCAGACUCCUACGGGAGGCAGCAGUGGGGAAUAUUGGACAAUGGGGGGAACCCUGAUCCAGCCAUGCCGCGUGUGUGAAGAAGGCCUUAUGGUUGUAAAGCACUUUAAGCGAGGAGGAGGCUACUGAGACUAAUACUCUUGGAUAGUGGACGUUACUCGCAGAAUAAGCUCCGGCUAACUCUGUGCCAGCCGCCGCGGUAAUAC